AAUUUUUGUGAAUGUGCCAUGUGGUGCUGAGAAGAAGGUGUAUUCCUUUUUUAUCCCUAUUUAUUUUUUCUCCAUAUGUCUAUUAAUUCUAAUUUUUCUAAGAUUUCAUUCACUUCUUUUACCUCUUUCUUAUUUAUUUUUUGAUUCGAUUUAUCUAAAUUUGAUAAUGGUUGGUUUAAGUCUCCCACUAGUAUGGUUUUAUUGUCUAUUUCUUCCUUCAAUUCUCCUAGUUUCUCCAUUAGAAAUUUGGGUGCUAUAUUAUUUGGUGCAUACAUGUUGAUUAAUGAUAUUUCCUCAUUGUCUAGAGUCCCUUUUAACAAAAUAUAAUUACCUUCCCUAUCCCUUUUGAUCAGGUCUAUUUUUGCAUUGGCUUUAUCAGAUAUCAUGAUUACCACUCCUGCCUUCUUUCUAUCAGUUGAGGCCCAGACCAUAUGUCUAUUAAUUCUAAUUUUUCUAAGAUUUCAUUCACUUCUUUUACCUCUUUCUUAUUUAUUUUUUGAUUCGAUUUAUCUAAAUUUGAUAAUGGUUGGUUUAAGUCUCCCACUAGUAUGGUUUUAUUGUCUAUUUCUUCCUUCAAUUCUCCUAGUUUCUCCAUUAGAAAUUUGGGUGCUAUAUUAUUUGGUGCAUACAUGUUGAUUAAUGAUAUUUCCUCAUUGUCUAGAGUCCCUUUUAACAAAAUAUAAUUACCUUCCCUAUCCCUUUUGAUCAGGUCUAUUUUUGCAUUGGCUUUAUCAGAUAUCAUGAUUACCACUCCUGCCUUCUUUCUAUCAGUUGAGGCCCAGAAGGUCUUACUCCAUCCUUUAAUUCUGACCUUGUGGGUGUCAACCCGCCUCAUGUGUGUUUCUUGAAGACAACAUAUGGUAGGGUUUUGGAUUCUAAUCCAUUCUGCUAUUCGUCUACGUUUUAUGGGUGAGUUCAUCCCAUUCACGUUCAAAGUUAUGAUUGUCAUUUGUGGACUCCCUGGCAUUUUGAUUGCCUUCCCUAAUUCUAACCUUUUCUUCUUCGGCUCUACCUUUUAGUCCAGUGAUUUACUUUGAAUCAGUCCCCCUUGUCCCCUCCCUUGAUGUUUCCCUUUUUAGUCCCUCCCUUUUUGUUCCCUCCCCCUCCCCCCUCUCUUUCCCUCCCUUUUUGUUCUCCCUCUCCCCCU
rnacentral:lncRNA from 1 species